AUGGAACAAUGUAGGCAAGGGAAGUCGGCAAAACGGAUCCGUAACUUCGAGAAAAGGAUUGGCUCUGAGGACUGGGCUCGGGGGUCCCGGCCCCGAACCCGUCGGCUGUCGGCGGAUUGCUCGAGCUGCUCACGCGGCGAGAGCGGGUCGCCGCGUGCCGGCCGGGGGACGGACCGGGAAUCGCCCCUUCGGGGGCUUUCCCCGAGCAUGAAACAGUUGACUCAGAACUGGUACGGACAAGGGGAAUCCGACUGUUUAAUUAAAACAAAGCAUUGCGAUGGUCCUCGCGGAUGCUGA
rnacentral:rRNA from 1 species